rnacentral:lncRNA from 1 species
GUUUAGACCACUUAAGAGACACUGAUUUCCUUGUGAUAUUGGUAACUUCAGGUUGUCCAGGAGGGUCACAAGGAUCUCUUGCAGAGACUGGUUCACAUGCUUUACUGCAUUUGCCAAUUCCAGCAAUAUUCUCAGCAUAUACACGGUACUCAUACAUCAGCCCCUCAUCAAGACCGGAGACCUUCAUCUGAGUAUCUGCAAUGAGCACUUUGUUUGCCUUUGACCAGAGAAUGCUGCUUCUUUCUUUGUAUUCAAGGUGAUAGCCAAUGACUUGGCUUCCUCCGUCAUUAACCGGCACCUGCCAGCUUACAACCAUGGUGGAUUUUGUGGCAUGCACAACUUUAGGAGUACCAGGAGGCCCUGGGGGGCUGAAUGGAUACUCAGCAACAACAGCUGAUGAUUCGCUGUAGGAGCUCUUUCCAUACCGAUUCUCUGCACAAACACGGAACUGAUACUCACUUCCUGUUGUCAAGCGGACUAUUUUAAUGGACGUUCUUGCCACUGCCUGUGAAACUACCUGCCAUGUUGUAGAAGUGGUUUCCCUCUUCUCAACAAUAUAGUUGCUAAUUUGGCAGCCACCAUCAUAUUCUGGAGGAGUCCAAGAAAUGGACACAUUGUCACAACUAACUUCAUCAAUGCGUAUGGGUCCUGGAGGUCCUGGCCUGUCAAGGACAAUGACAGUAAUAGGAACUGUUAUGGAUCCAGCAGUAUUGGAAACGCACAAUUCAGAGUAUACACCUUGAUGGCUUCUCUGGCAGUUUUUGAUGACCAUGGAAGAACUAAUGGCUGUGGUCUCAAUGGUG